rnacentral:rRNA from 1 species
GUGAACGCUGGCGGUAGGCCUAACACAUGCCCGUCGAACGGCAGCACAGUAAGAGCUUGCUCUUACGGGUGGCGAGUGGCGGACGGGUGAGGAAUACAUCGGAAUCUACUUUUUCGUGGGGGAUAACGUAGGGAAACUUACGCUAAUACCGCAUACGACCUACGGGUGAAAGCAGGGGAUCUUCGGACCUUGCGCGAUUGAAUGAGCUGAUGUCGGAUUAGCUAGUUGGCGGGGUAAAGGCCCACCAAGGCGACGAUCCGUAGCUGGUCUGAGAGGAUGAUCAGCCACACUGGAACUGAGACACGGUCCAGACUCCUACGGGAGGCAGCAGUGGGGAAUAUUGGACAAUGGGCGCAAGCCUGAUCCAGCCAUACCGCGUGGGUGAAGAAGGCCUUCGGGUUGUAAAGCCCUUUUGUUGGGAAAGAAAAGCAGCAGGUUAAUACCCCGCUGUUCUGACGGUACCCAAAGAAUAAGCACCGGCUAACUUCGUG